rnacentral:lncRNA from 1 species
CAUGUGUGCAAGCAUUUUUUUUUUUUUUUUUGGGACAAGUUUAAGGCACAUCAACUCUGACCCAAAAGAAAGGGAAAAAAGGGAUUCAAAUGGUGGUACCCAAGAGUUUGUUUGAGGGCAGGCAGAACAAGGUCAUGAUCAGCAUCGGUACACCAAAGCUUAGAAGCGACAAACAAUUCAUCCCUGCUCUUAAUUAAUCCAAUCUCCAAUGCUUUAGCCACAGCUAUGCCAAGAGCUUCCUCAGUGCCAUAACAUGCCGCUGUAUCAAAUGCCUGUAUCCAAUCUCCAUUGCAUCAAUAAAAGUUGAUACUAAUUGCUCUGAUGGUGGCAAAGGAUGCGCGGCGCAUCCCAAGCCCACCACUGGCAUUUUGUGGCCUGAGUUUAACACUACUGUUUCUGGGAUUUUUUGUUCACCCUUUUCCAUCGUCUCUGGCAUAAUUGUAUUAAUGGAGAAAAAUGCAAGAAGAAAUUUCUGUCAAAAGGCAGUAGUUAUCUUCAAUUGAUGAAAAGAGGGGUGAGGAGAAGUGGUGAGUGACAUCAUAAAUUCAUUCACACUCACCUUUUUUCUAAUUGUGAUUGGUAUCCACCGGGCAGAGAAGGAAAGAAAAUCAAGAAAAUGACAAACAUGACGUUUCGAGAAAAGGGCAAGAACAAGACGGAAAUAAAGGACCACAACCAAUUGCCUAAAAAAAAAAGAAAACGUAUACCACUAGUAUUAAUUAUCCUCUUUUUUUUUUUUGAAUAUUCCAACCCUUUUCAUUUUCUGUUUUAGUACAUUUUGGAGACUAGGGAAAGAGAUAGGUGCACGCACCUUAAAAAGUUAAUUAGUUAGCUUUCUACGUUAAGGUAUACUUUGAUGUGAAAAAACUUUGCUUUCCGUGCUUAAUUUGGCCCAAAGAAUGAAAAGGAAGCCCCGUUUUGAUUUGUCCAAUUGGCUGUUUAAUCGAGAAUAGCGAGUACACAAAACUUAGCCAAUAAAAUGGAAUUAGUACAUAAGUGCAAUUAUUUUUCUAAAACUUAGGCUUAAUAUUUGAUAAAAAGUGCUCGUAUAUCACUUUUUUUUUAGCUUAGAAGUAAGAAAGUGCUCAUGUAUGUCAUGUAAGUAACUUUGCACCUUAACGCCUGAAUUUGAGAAAAUGACAAAAAAAAUAGAAUUAGGUCUCGUCUGGAUCGCUAUUUUUUGGAGUUUUUGUAGAAAAAUAUACUCAAACGAUUUGAUAAAUGUGAGAUAAAAAGGAGAUUGAAAAAUGUUAUCAUUUGAAAAUUACACUUUAAAGAGUUGAAUGGCCUUUUCAGAUUUUUUUUUAAAAAAAAGUUUAAUGACCAAACCAUGCAAUUUAAAAUACUCAGUGAUCUUUUGUGCUAUUUACUCUCUACAUAAUCAUUUUAUUUCUUUUUCCUGUUGAUUAUUUAUUUGUUUUUAAAUCUUUAUAUAUGAUAUAUUAAACAAUCCGACAAUUGACAACUGAUAAUCAAACCUACUAUGGUGUUUUGGUAAAAGAUAAGUCACUACGAUGUUGGGUUCGGCUGCUUCCCUAUUUGAUUUGAGAAUACCCCAACAGGAUUGGAAUAAUGUUGAUCAUCAUGGUAGAGUUGAAGUUCACAUUGUCCAGAAAUUCAGAUGUCGCCAUCCCAAAAUUCCUCCAAAGAUUUGUAUGGCCCUGUUGGAUCAACAAGCGCUUCCGUUCCAGGGGCUCUACGCUGAGGAAUCUGCAGAAUUUGAUCCAUUUCUUCCUUGGUGAGUUCCCAAUCAAAUACUUGGAGGUUCUGUUUCAUCCUUUCCUUGCUGAAGCUCUUCACAAUGACGCUUGCUCCUUGCAGAUAUACCCAUCUCAAUGCCACCUGCGUUUGGAUUGAUCAUUUUUUUAAAAACAAGAUUUUCAUAAAAAAAUGCUACAAUAAUAUAUAAUAAAAAUAACCACAAAAAUACUAAAAACAACCUCAAAAACAACCUAAAAAACAAUAAAAGUUUUUCGCCUAUAUUGUUACAAUAAAAUAUUUCAAGAACACCCUAAAAAACAGUUAAUUCAAACGGAAAUUAUAAUUGUUUAAUCUCUGUCUGCGCGUGUGUGUGUGUGUGUGUGUUUUUCAAUUUUCUUGAAAGCUAUAUGCACUAAAAAAAAAUUUUAACUUCGAAUAUGUCAUAAUAAUUCAGGACCUCUGCCACGGUCUUGUUUCUUGAGUCAGCAAUAUUUUUGAUGAUUGGAUUCUCCAUGACUGCAUUGCUACCCCAAGAAGUACCAUAACCUCCAAGAGGAGACCAAGCGAUUAUGUGAAUUCCUUUCUCUUUGGCAAAUGGUACCAAUUUUCGCUGCUGCCAACCAACAUUCAUCUCCACCUGAAAAUUUUUCAUUCGAAAAUUCUAUCAUGCAUUCCACUAUAGUGGCCAAUGUUGGCGAGGUUAAUUUCAAAGAAAGUAAAAGAGAAAAAGUCUCAAACGGGCUGCUUGCUAAUUCCACUAUCAAAUUACAUGUCUAUUGUCCCCAAACCCCAGUUAACUGGUAAACUAUGAAAUUUCUGGUUUUACUCUCAAGAUUUGCAGUUUACCUAGAACCCCAUUUACCCAAUUCCAAAAAAAAAAAGAGAGAGAGAGAAAUCACCUGAUUAACUGCUGGAAGGAUGGUAGCACUUUCUUGGAGUUUGGAGAUUUUUUCACAGGUGAAGUUGCUCAAACCUAUAGACUUUGUCAAGCCCAAUUUGCUGCAUUCUUCCAUGGCCUUCCACGUUCCAUGCAUGUCAAAAGGGAGAAUUGCAUCUUUGGUGAAAUUGAGCAUCUCAGUACCCUGCUUUAGCCUCAGAGGCCAGUGAAUCAAAUAAAGAUCCAAAUACUCUAGCCCCAACUUCCUAGCAAAGAAGAAUUAUGACAAGAAAGAGUAAGUCAAUCAUGUAUCAGAAAACAAAAUUUCUUGGUGGAUGAAUCAAAGAAACAAAUAAUUUCUCCUGAUCAUAUUCCAUGCCAUUGUCAGUGAGAACAAUGAAAAUGAUCAAUUUUUUUUCUUUGAAUGCAAGGCCUUAUAGUCAAGUGAUUUUGAUUUUAGUGACAGGUACGGGCCAUAUGAACAGAACUCAAAAUAUCACAUAUGAGUUUUAGUGUCGUACAAGGGUGUUCAUGUUCAUUUAAAAUCCUUUCCAAAAGAGUUCAACAGUUCAGUAAUGGUCGCUGGUGUAUCCCAAAUUCAUUAAAAAUGGAGUUCAACUACCAAAAAUUCGCUGUUUGGAUUGUAUUUUCCAUGGAUUUUUCGUUGGAAAAUUACUGUAGCGAUUUGAUGUAUGUGAGGUAAAAGGUGAUAGGGAAAUGUGUUCACGGAAAACAAGACCAUUUUUUUGGUGAAAAAUGGCUAUCCAAACAAGCCUAAAUUUCUAGCGAUUGUCUGAUUAAAUAGUCAAGAUGAUGCGAUGAUGCAAGGGUUAAUUGCACUUCACACAUUCAACUAUACUCCAAUUUUUACUUUGGUCAUUCAACUUUAGAGUACAACACUUUAAUCCCUAAAAUAGAAAAUUUGUCCUACUUUAAUCUCUGAUGUAUAAAAUUUGUCACAUUUAAAUCUUCAAAGUAUAAAUUUGUUUCACUUUAGUCCUUAAAGCACAAAAUUUAUCCUAGUCUCACUUUCACUGAAGAUUUUACUUAAGUGGGACAAAUUUUAUCCCUUAAAUGUCCCAUUUUGAAGUUUAGGACCAAAAUUAGAAUGUAAAUGUAUUUGAAGGGUGCCAAGUGAAAUUAACCUAUAAUACAAGCAUCCUAGUUUGUAGUCUGUCCAGCAAGACGACGGACAGACAUGAUGGCGGGGAUAUCAAGAAGACUUUGAGAUAUUUCAUAUCACCACAAAAAUCCAUAAUUUUUUUUUUUACAGAACAAAAAUUCAUAAUUAGUAUGAUUAGCGUGAAAAAUCAAUUGGCUUCUUCAUCCCCAUCCUUAUUCCCCCCUUCCUCUCCAAACAUUCCUCUCGACUAAACGUUGUACUUCUAUCCAUCCAUGGAAAGUGAUAAUCUCUAUUUCAGAUACUCUUAAUGGAGUUACAACCAAUGAAAAAGUCCAAAUUUGGGGAAAAACAAUGUCGGAAAACUAUGUGCUACUCCCAAAAGAAUCAAAGAGUUAAAUAUAAAAAUACCUGUUCUAAUCAAGAACCAGGCAGGUCUUCUUCAGUAAUAAGACUCAUGACCAAGGCACCAGAAAUUUCAUGGUAUAGAAUAUAUUAACAUUCUCAUGUCUAUGCAUGAAUAUUCUUAUUCAGGUAUUAGAUAAGGGAAAAAAUUAGAAGAAUUAGGGAAAAAAAAAAAGAGAUUCAUAUGGUGAUGAGGAAAGUACCCAAGAGUUUGUUUGAGGGCGGGCAGAACAAGGUCAUGAUCAGCAUCAGUACACCAAAGUUUAGAAGUGAUGAACAAUUCAUCCCUGCUCUUAAUUAAUCCAAUCUCUAGUGCUUUAGCCACAGCUUUACCAAGAGCUUCCUCAGUGCCAUAACAUGCUGCUGUAUCAAAAUGCCUGUAUCCAAUCUCCAUUGCAUCAAUAAAAGUUGAUACUAGUUGUUCUGAUGGUGGCAAAGGCUGAGCUGCACAUCCAAACCCCACCAAUGGCAUUUUGUGGCCUGUAUUUAACACUAUUUCUGGGAUUGUUUCUCCAGCUUUUUCCAUGGUCUCUCUCUCUGAUGUAAUUGUCCUAAUGGAGAAAAUGCAAGAAGUUAAUAUGAGCCUGUUAUCUCGUCUCAAACUGAUGAAAAGAUAGAGGGGUGUGAGAGAUGGGGUUGUAGUAUAGCGGUUGUGUUUAUCCAGCAGGUCUCUUAUCUUUUUAUGCAUGAUUUAGCAUAUGUUGAAUAGUGAAUUCCUUGUCUUCGCCUUCACGCACCGUGAUUGGCACGCACCGGUCAAAAAACGAAGAAAAUCCAAGGCGGGUUAGCGGAGUUCGUUAGGAAAGACUUCUUAAAGUCUAUUUGGAUGUACAGAGGUUCCAACCACAGUUAUCAAAUCCGACUCGAAUCGAUGGUCAAAUCGGUCAAUUCGAUGAACUGAUUGUAGUAGGAUAAGCUGAAUUGCUAAUUAAACUAGUUAUAAGUUGGAUUGCUAAUUAAACAAUUAUGUAACAAAUUUGUUAACUAGUCAAUGAUCUGAUGGUUUAAUCGAUGAAUAAAAAAAAAAUGGCCGGUUAAAUCAUUAACUUAAAAAUUUUAUUAUUUUUAUAAUUUGAAAUAUAUUUUUAUGUCAUAUAUUAUAACUAUUGUAUAACUUGCAGUUGAACCGCUCACAGUUGAAUCGGUGACCUCUUCGAAUUGAGAUUUGAGUCGGAUUUAAUUUAAUAACUAACUAUGAUUCCAACCUCUAGCUCUUUCAUGUAGUCCAAUCGUACUCCUCCUUCCUCCCAUAAUAUAAAAGUACGAUUUUUUUUUUUUCUGACGGAGUGGAUGUCCGAGUCUAUCUUUGCGGGGUUCGACUAAUCCCACUUCGACCCGGGUGGAAAGGCCCCAUCCCCCGAACGCGUUAACAACGGAACUCGAACUCUGAUUGACAGAAAGGUUGUCAUACCCUAAAGAGAGGGAGCGGACCGCUCGAGCUACCCUUGCAAGCUUAAAAGUACGAUGGAUAUUGACAUUUUGCCCAAGAAAAAAGCCAAAGAAGGAAAGAAAUUCAAUCACGGAACCACCACAAGUUGGAAAAUGAAGUUUUGUUCUGGAAAGGGCCAACAGAAAAGAAAGUCACGGACCACUAUAAAUUAGAAAACCUAUAGUACAUCGCCACUACAACCAGUUGUUUUGCUUUUUUGAUAAUCCAAUUUAACACUGAAAGUUGAUAGACAUGCACCAGUUUCUUCAAUAUUGCAAAACUUAUAAAAAAAAAUUACUAAAUUGAUACAGCUUGUGAUUUAUGAUGUGCAACAGUUAUCAUAUCAUGUCCUCAAAAGUAUGUAUAAGGUUACAAGAUAUACAUUCACACACACACAGAGGAAAAUUUAAUGUAAGGAUAUUUUAAGAAAAUAGUAUGUUAGAUUUAUUUUUCUAAUAAAGUUAACUAAUUUUUCUUAAAUUGUGUAAAAAUAAAACCAGAUUAUCAAAGUGGAAUGGAUGGAGUACUAUUACAUUAAAACUGCACGAGUUUACACUAAUUGUCUUAAAAAUUACAUCAAUUAGACCGAACAUUGCUGGAGAGACCCCAUUACGGACAGUGCCAUCUACCUGUUGAGAGAUUUCAUUAAUGCCGAGUAGCAAAUAAUAGUGGGGCAAUGUGCAUCCUCGUUUGCAGUCAAGUAACAAAUAUGGUUGAGACUGAUCCAUCCUAUUCACUUCACCACAAAAUUCCAUAGUUAAUUAGUAUGUUUGACUUGAAAAAUUACUUGGCUUUAUAUCCUAACCUACUACACAACGUAUUAUUUGUAGAGGUGAUGACAUCUAUAUCAAAGACGGGUUGCUGUAGUAGUUGUUGACCGAUAAUAGUAUCCCAAUUUGGGGAGAAACAGAAGGGGGAAAAAUGAUGGGACAGCAAGAUAGAUAUACAUAGGAAAAUCUGGACUGAUACAAGGAAUUAAUCAGGCAGGACAAGCCAAGGGUCAUGGCCAAUAUAUAAUAAAGAACAUGUAAAAUAUUUAUAUGCACGCACACAUCUAUGCAUGAGUAUACCUAUUUAGGAAGUAUCAAAUUUAACCAAAAAAUGAAGAAAGAUGAACGUUCAAAUUGUAAUAAAUGAGGAAAGUACCCAAGAGUUUGUUUGAGGGCAGGCUGAACAAGGUCAUGAUCAGCAUCAGUACACCAAAGUUUAGAAGUGAUGAACAAUUCAUCCCUGCUCUUAAUUAAUCCAAUCUCUAGUGCUUUAGCCACAGCUCUACCAAGGGCCUCCUCUGUGCCAUAGCAUGCUGCUGUAUCGAAAUGCCUGUAUCCAAUCUCCAUUGCAUCAAUAAAAGUUGUUACUAAUUGCUCUAAUGGUGGCAAAGGAUGUGCGGCACAUCCUAAGCCCGCCACUGCCAUUUUGUGGCCC